GAAAAGCAGUUUGAUGGCCGUGUGAAGAGUUUGCACCCAAACAUACACUGUGGUAUCCUCGCUAGAAGAGAUGUGGAGCAUCAUAUGGAAGCUCUUAAUGAGCAUGGCAUUGGUACAUUUGAUGGAAAUUUAUUGUGGAACCGAACUCUUCCUCAUCCAUCUCCAAUAAGACCUGAAAGAUUGGAUGUUUCAGAUAAUCCAACGGCAAAACAAAACCCUGCCUUCUCUGGUGUACACAGAGAAGUGUCCUUUCUUACACUGCCUCCACUUCUCCAUCAUAUUGGUGAGUUAAGACUCUUGCAAGAUCCUUUCUUCAUAUGUUCCGACUCUGAUGUCUCUGCUCUUUGAUCGUUACCAACAUAAUACCAUUGUGUAUACUAUUUGUUAGAUUGUUACUGUCUGAAGCUAUACCUUCCUCUCUCUCCAUGUAUAUAUACUACGAAACGUGCUUAGUGUUUGUGAAAAUAUCUCGAACAAUAAAUUUGAUUCUUAAAUAACUAAUAAAAGGAAUAUGAAUUUAAAAAAAAAAAAAUUCAAUAACAUAAAAAUAAUUCUGAAAAUGAGAAUUUAUUUUACAAUAACAAAUACUCUGCAUGAAACACAAGAAAUACGAGAAACUAAAAAAAUAUUAUAAAAAUGGAAUAAGUCACAUAAUUUUAAAAGAUUUUUAACAAUUAAUUGAGAAAAAUAUAAUAAAAUAGAACUAAGAGAAUUAAUUAUAAAAAUAAAUGAAAAUUGUAUUUAUAUAAUAACACAUUAAAGAAAUCAUAUGCAAAUAAAUGUAGUAACUUCAUGAAUUUCAAAGAGAGUUUCAAUACAACUAAUUUAAUAGUGAUAUGAAAAUAUUUUUUUUGUAAUUAUAAAUUUUAAAUUGAAACGUAAUAAAAACGAUAAGGUAUA